rnacentral:rRNA from 1 species
AUUGAACGCUGGCGGCAUGCUUUACACAUGCAAGUCGAACGGUAACAGGCCUUCGGGUGCUGCCGAGUGGCGAACGGGUGAGUAAUGCAUCGGAACGUGCCCAGAGGUGGGGGAUAACGCAGCGAAAGCUGUGCUAAUACCGCAUGUGAUCUGAGGAUGAAAGCGGGGGACCAAGCAGCAAUGUUUGGCCUCGCGCCUCUGGAGCGGCCGAUGUCAGAUUAGGUAGUUGGUGGGGUAAAGGCCUACCAAGCCGACGAUCUGUAGCUGGUCUGAGAGGACGACCAGCCACACUGGGACUGAGACACGGCCCAGACUCCUACGGGAGGCAGCAGUGGGGAAUUUUGGACAAUGGGCGCAAGCCUGAUCCAGCAAUGCCGCGGGCGGGAAGAAGGCCUUCGGGUUGUAAACCGCUUUUGUACGGAACGAAAAGGCUCUGGCUAAUACCUGGGGCUGAUGACGGUACCGUAAGAAUAAGCACCGGCUAACUACGU